rnacentral:rRNA from 1 species
CCUACGGGAGGCAGCAGUGGGGAAUAUUGGGCAAUGGAGGAAACUCUGACCCAGCGACGCCGCGUGCGGGAUGAAGGCCUUCGGGUUGUAAACCGCUUUCAGUAGGGAAGAAGCGAAAGUGACGGUACCUACAAAAGAAGCACCGGCUAACUAUGUGCCAGCAGCCGCGGUAAUACAUAGGGUGCAAGCGUUGUCCGGAAUUAUUGGGCGUAAAGAGCUCGUAGGUCGUUUGUUACGUCGGAUGUGAAAACCUGAGGCUCAACCUCAGGCCUGCAUUCGAUACGGGCAAACUAGAGUUUGGUAGGGGAGACUGGAAUUCCUGGUGUAGCGGUGGAAUGCGCAGAUAUCAGGAGGAACACCAAUGGCGAAGGCAGGUCUCUGGGCCAAUACUGACACUGAGGAGCGAAAGUCUGGGGAGCGAACAGGAUUAGAUACCCUGGUAGUCCAGACCGUAAACGGUGGGCACUAGUUGUGGGAACCUUCCACGGUUUCUGCGACGCAGCUACGCAUAGUGCCCGCCGUCGGGAGGUACGAGUCGCGAGAAGUUAAAACGUUAAAGUUAGAAGUUAGUAACGGUCGUGUUAGACGUGCCGACGGACGACGACGAGGGAGGAGG